AUGGCAACAACAAGGGGGGAAGACAGUGAAGAAAAUUAAAGGGGAAAAAACCCAAUGCAGAAGAAAAAUGGACAGAGAAUCCCACAAGAUGGCUUCUGCUCUUUGUGAGAUAGUUUUGUCUUAGUUUUUAUGACAUGCUUUGUAACUUUACUAUAUAGAAUGUUCCUGGGGGGGGGGGAGCGGUGAUUUUGGUCAUACCCUAUUGUUAACACCACUGAAAGAGUAGAAUUCACUACUCUGUGGAUACCACAAUGGUUCCAACAGUAGGAGGAUAUUUUCUUGUUGUAGGUGGGAGGGGAAAGGGGGGGAGGGGAAGUUUGGGGUUUGUUCUCCAUCCAGCUGUUAAACUAUUGCAAGUUGCCAACAAUUGCCUUUUAGAUAUAAUGUUUUCCAUGCGCUCCUAUGACGUACUAAUCAUCCUGGAGCAAGUAUGGAUAAUUUAAAAAUAAUCACAUGGAAUGUUAAAGGACUGGGGUCACCCAUAAAAAGGAGACGGGUUUGGAAGGAAUUAAGAAAAGGGAGAUUGGACUUGAUUCUGGUCCAGGAGACUCACCAGAGGAGGUGGGGGGCUACAAUGAGUACGUCUCCCCUCCCUGGACAAGAUGAGUUUACUGGCUAUUUUUAUAAAACCUUUUCUGAACUUGAGGUCCCAUUCUUGCUGAAAUUAUUUACAGAUACAAAGGAUCAUGGCCUGAUGCCUGGAACUUGGAAAAACACACACAUUGUAGUGCUACCAAAACCAAAUAAAGACUUGGAGUUGGUUGAGUCCUAUCUCAUUAGUAAAUGAGGCCUAUCUCAUUAAUAAAUGUUGAUUUAAAAUUACUUACAAACAUUAUUACACACAGGUUAGCGAUGAUUGUACCAAAUUAUAUACAUUCGGAUCAAACAGGUUUUAUUAGGCAAAGGUCAAUAACUACCCCAAUUAGGAGGAUCCUCAGUGCAAUAUACUGGGGAUCAAACCAACCGGCACCAACAGCCAUCCUUACAUUGUAUGCAAUAAAGGCAUUUGACCGUCUUGAAUGGAAUUUUCUUUUUGAAACCUUGCGAGGUUUUGGCAUGGGAGCCCCAUUCAUUGCACUGCUGACUACCUUAUAGCAGGAUUGUACCACAAAUAUUUUGAUAAAUGGUAUACACUCUGAGCCUAUAUUGAUGGGCCAGGGUGCGAAGCAGGGCUGCCCAUUGUCGCCCCUGCUUUCUGCCCUGGCCAUGGAACCCUUGGCUCUAGCACUUAGGGGAGACCCUGAGGUGUCUGGAAUACAAAUUAAUGGGCAGAGUCAUCUGGUGAACAUGUUUGCAGAUGAUGUAGCCUUGAUGCUGUCUCGCCCUGGAACAAGUCUCCCGGCAGUAAUGAAAAUUCUAGAUGCUUACGGAAAGGUUUCUGGUUUUCAUGUUAACUAUAGCAAAUCAGACCUGCUAUGCAUUCAUAUGCCACCUGAAGUACAACUACAAUUUCAGCACUCCACUGGAAUAAAACUUUACCAGAAAUAUUUUAAAUAUUUAGGAGUUAUUAUCCCCAGGAACCUUCACAAUUUGGAAAAUUAAUUUUCGUCCAAUGAUCCGAGGGAUUAGACAAAAAUUGAAAACUUGGAGCAAGGGUUCGCUGUCAUGGUUGGGCCGAAUCGCCACUAUAAAAAUGAUGGUGCUGCCGCACCUCCUCUAUCUCUUUAGAGUCUUACCAAUAGCCACAGAAGACAAAAAAUUACAAAUUUGGCAAAACAUGCUUCUAAAAUUUAUACACCAGAAUAAAAGGCCAAAGCGUUAUAUCAACCAGCCAGAGGAGGUGGCGCGGCAGUAUCUAAUAUCCUGUAUGCAGCAGCCCAUCUACAUAGCAUUUUCCUGGUAAUUCAAGGAUCUCAACAAAUAGCUUGGCUAAAUAUGGAAAACCCAAAAGAACAGAAUUCAAUAAGAGGGGUCCCAUUUUGGCAAAUUAAUAAAAAAUUUUAAUUGAAAUAGAAAACCCCCUUUUUUAUCUAAUCUAAAAUUUUGGAAGAAAUGGUUCCCAUGGAUGACCUCUCAGCCUUCUCCUGUAAUACCAUUGGCAUUUCACCCUACUUUCUAUAAUAGAGACAGAACAUUCCCCUUUGAAAAAUGGGGAAAUGUGGGCCUGUUUUGGCUUAAAGACUUUAACAAAGAAAACACCCCAUUGUCUGGAUUGAUACUACAAGAAAUGGUUCAAAACUUUCCCCAUAAUUGGAUAGUAAUCCAUAAAGUCAUCCAUUUUAUAAGUAGCACAGAUAUUCACAAACAAGGGAGAGUCACUAACUGCAUUUGAAAAUAUUUUAUAUACCACAGACCCUAGAGGUAAAGGUCUAAUUGCUUUAAUCUAUAAAGCAAUUGUAAAUUUCUCAACCUCAAACCCUCCUUGUUGAAGACUAGAUGGGAAAGAGACUUGGGAGAAGGGAUUGAUGAUGGUUUGUGGGAAGGAAUGUGGCAACAAGCCCCCUUUCGAGCUAUUUCUGCCUGAAUAAGAGAAAACACCUUAAAGCUAACCCAAAGCUAACUUGCACCCCACAUUGCUAAGCAAAAUAGACAAAAAUAUUUCUCUGCAAUGUUGGAGAAAUGGUGGGAAUGAAGGAACAUUUAUACACAUGUGGUGGAAAUGCCCAUUGAUUAAAAACUUCUGGUUAAAAAUAUUUCAGGAAAUUCCUGUUUCUGGCGGUGGGAAAUGGCUGACUCCCAUACAAUCAGAUCCCAGCCGUGCCGGUAAUUCAGGGCUGAUAUGGGGGUAAUCAGCCCUGGCAGACUCCCCAGGGUGGGGGAGGACUGUCUCGUAGACCUGCAGAUAUCCAAGAUUUGUCAGCUGGCAUCAAGGUGCAAGUGGCAAGGACUCUGGGUACGUCUGGCACUCUCUGAAGUCACUCUCACAUGCCGGACAUAUCUGUUUGAUAAAAUAAUUAGAUUUGGACAAUAAACAGACAUAGUCUGGACUGAAGAAGAUUGAGAAAAAAUCUGCAGAAUUGCACAGUCCCUGGUGUUUAAGCUCGGACUUCAAAGAGAUUCUCAUCAUGGCGUUUGGAUUACAGAGGUGUUUGGUAAGUCUUUUUUCUCUUCUUAACAUCUACAGUUGGUUUUCUAUGCCAAGCCUCAUUAAGAAACCUAAUAUUUUUUUUAAAGAGUACAGAUGGACUUCUAGUUAUAAUUAAGUAUUCAACUGCGCAGCUUUACUCAAAUUUGAAGGACGUGAUAAAUAUAAAAGAAGAAACAAGAUGGCAUUUGUUAAUAUGAUGCAGCACGGAAAGAUGAGAAUUCCUCCCCUUUUUCGAGGGAAGUAGGAAAUAUUUGCUGGCUGACAUUGUAAUGUUUUGAGAUAACAAUUUGGGAUAACAUAUAGUGCAGCUGUUUGCAGAAGUUUUUUAUUAUGAGCAAGAGAAAAGGCUGAAUGGAAGUCUAACAGCCCCCCCUCUAGGGCCCGGAGGGGGGAGAUUGUGUGGUCUCCGAGAAGCUGAUUGAUCGCCAGAUGACUUAUAUCUGUGGAAUACACUUCAUUUACAUUGCAAUAUUGCAAACAGUUUCACCCAACAAUCUAUAGCAACAACUCAACAACAUGGAAGGCACUGUGUCACUAAAUCUCAAAAGAAAGCUUUGGACAACAGCCCGGAUUGGAGUGAUUUAACAGCUUGGGGUUUGCUGCGUCUUUAAACUUCAAAGGAUAAACUUGGACAACAGCCCGGAUUGGAAGAUUGGAAUGAAGUCAGGAAAAGCUGCGCUGGUAAAUAGACAAUUGAAAAAAUAUAUAUUUACAAAUAAAGCUGUAUUGGGUGGAUGAAAGGACAUAUGAUUUUUGACAUGAUUGAGAAUCUCAUAGCCAGGAAUGGAGAACUUUAAAGCAUUAAGACCAGAAAGUGGAAAAUAUGAAAACAAUGAGAAGAGGCAGGACUGAAGAUUUGGAGAUAUGCUUCAGAGGUCCAGACUAUGGGGAGCCCUGAAAAAUUAAUAAUUACAAUUUGUAUUACAAUUUGGUCUUUUUUAAAUUUUAGUUUCUUGUUUUUAAUUGGAUUGUGAUGUGGAUAUGUUGAUUGGCUGUUUUUAUUGGAAAAUCAAUAAAACUGAUUAAUUUUUUUUUUCAGGAAAUUGAAAUUGAAAUUACAUCUCAAUCGAUCAAUUUAGAUCCCAAAAUAGCAUUGCUUUCUAUAUUUGCAGAUGGAGCACAAAAUCUUAGAGACAAAGACUUAAUUGUGCAUCUUAUAACUGCAGCACGUCUUGCUGUUGCUAGACACUGGUGGACAUUAAACUUGAACCUAUAUGACGUCUGGUAUGCUUAUGUCUGGGAAUUAAUUUUGAUGGAAAAGUUAACAGAAAGAGUACGUGAAAGAAAACGUGAGAAACUACAUAACUUCUACAUAAUGUGGUCCUCUUUUAUUACAUAUGCAUCAAAGACAGAACAUGCAUUUAAACCACCUAAGGCACAUGGGAGCAUGUGGAAUGAUUUUUUAAACUAGCAACUGUAGAAAUAAUUUUUAUUUGAUUAUAUUACUAAUGUAAUUACCUGGGUGUAGUUGGGGCUGUUUUGGGGGGGGGGUUGGGGAAAAAUGUAUUUGAUAGCUUAUAUUUGAUUAUAUGUUGUUCUUAUAUUCAACUAAUAAAAUAUUUUUUUAAAAAAUGAAUUGAAGACGAGCCUGAAUUGAGGACUCCCCUGCUCAGUGCCUAAGGGCCCCAGUCCUGCCACUCACCAUCUGGCCUAGGGCGGGGCCUGAUGGGCUCUAUAAAGGACUGCUGCUGCUGGGCAGAGAGGUCUCCAUUUUGUUUUUUGUUUAAAUUGCUGUUACUUUUUACCUAUCUCGUUUUAAGCUGUGGUAUUAAUGCUGUAUUCUUAGUUUUAGAUUUUGAUUUAUGUGGAAAUUGUUUUCCAUUUAGUUUUGGUGUUUUUUUAUGUGGUUUAUUUAUUGUUUAUGACUUUUGUAAUUAUGUAAAUCUUGUCAUGUAAGCUGCCUUGAGCAGUGUUUUUAACUGUGGAAAGGCGGCAUACAAAUAACAAAAAUGAAAUGAAAAAUGAAACCUUUCCAGUUUUCUGUCAGGAGGGAAUCUUUAGUGUUCUACAUGGCCAGAGCUGUCGAGUGCAAUGUGUAGCCAGGCUCCAAUGUGUGCAACACUGGAACUGCAGCUACAACUCUUUUUAAUACACCCAAGUCUCUCUGGUAUUUAUGAACAACUUAAAUAAAAUGCAAGUAGGGAGAAACAGACUUCUGAAAAUGCAUGCACAAUCUCUUCGCAGGAGUUCAUGAAAUCUUGUAAAAGUUAGGUUUUGUUCUCCAGUUUACAGAGCAAUCCUAUAUGAGUGUUUAUUCAAAAGCCAGUCCUACUCUGCUCAGUGAGUCUUGGUCCCAGGUAUGUCUGUAGGAAUGGAAGGUUUUUCAAGCCCAGUGAUAAUUAUAUGCCAUCUUGAGCAUUUAGUUGCUGGCAGCAGCUGCUUAUAACAGUCAAGGGGGAAAAAAGUAUUAUUGUCCUCUCAUUUCUCACCCACUUCCCCACUGCCUCCCCAAUUCCAUUGUAGGUCUCAUGGAGUAAUCAGAGCUGACUUCUGAGCAAACAGGGUUGGGAUAGCAGCUGAUGCUUCUAAGAGGCGACUAAAAGGUUUCUGGUCAUUUGACAGCAUACAGUAUCUACAGCAGAUUUAAAUUUACUGAGUUAUAGAGCUAAGUCAAUGAUUAAGUUUCAGCACUUGUCAGGAAAACUUUCAGAAAUCACCAAACUGUCCCUCUGUUUUUCUUGGUUUUUGAGGAGAGUUGAACAGGAACUUUCAGAGUAAGGGCAAUACUGACCUAAGAACAAUGCCCUAUGAUCUCAAUGGGCUUUGUGAUGCUAUCCUUUGACCGAAUAUGAUCAGUUCUGCAGCUUUAUGUAUUUAUUUCUAAGUCAUUUUUAUUAGAAAUAUCUCAGAGUACUGUAUUCUCAGAGUAUUGUAGCAUACAAUAAUAUAGUACACAAGAAACAAAGUUUAUAUGAAACCAGUAUUGCCUUAAAACAAUAACAAUGAACAGGUGCAGUGAUGUCAAGGAUGGCCAUCUCCAUGUCUGUGUGAAUAAAGGAUAAGUGGCUUCAACCAGAAAUGUCUACAGCUGAAGUGCCAUCACUUGGGCCCACUUCAUGCAUGUAGUGCCCUCAUGCAUAGCAACAGCAGGGAGUGGAGCCAGGAUUCUAGCUCUGUCCCCAGCACGGCAUUCCUUUUACUAUUCCAUCACCAACCUUGGCAUUUUAAUUGAAGGUUUGUACAACCUUCAGCAGGUGGCGCUGUGGGUUAAACCACAGAGCCUAGGGCUUGCCAAUUGGAAGGUCGGCGGUUUGAAUCCCCACGACGGGGUGAGCUCCCGUUGCUCGGUCCCAGCUCCUGCCCACCUAACAGUUUGAAAGCGCAUCUAAGUGCAAGUAGAUAAAUAGGUACCGCUCCGGCAGGAAGGUAAACGGCAUUUCUGUGCACUGCUCUGGUUCACCAGAAGCAACUUAGUCAUGCUGGCCACAUGACCCGGAAGCUGUACGCUGGCUCCCUCGGCCAAUAAAGCGAGAUGAGCGCCGCAACCCCAGAGUUGUCCAUGACUGGAUCUAAUGGUCAGGGGUACCUUUACCUUUACAAAUAGCAAAAUAGAUCUCGUGUAUUCUUUCUUUGCCUCGGAUCACAUUUCCAGGAAGAAGACAACCAGCAAAUAUGGCAGCUGGCAGCACCUGAUCAGGAGACAAGCAUGACUGUUGGAUAGAUGAUAAAAAGGAGGUUUAGGAAAAGCAUUUUUCUCCUGUAUGUCACCCUCCCCUACUCACAAUGGGAAAUAUUCAAUGAGAAAUAAGUCCCUCACCAUUUAAUCAUACUUUCCCCAUGAAAUGAGAAAAUUGUACUUAUGCAAAAGUAUCCAAAAAUUCUUAGCACCCUCACCAAGCUACAACACACUGGAUUUUUUGCAGGGUGGGAAGACAUAGGAGUUAUACAGUAAAACCACAUCUGUGUAUAAAACAGAUCUAUAGUUUGGAAUGAAGCCAAUGUAAAUCCCAGUGCAUAUUUUAUCCCUGCUGCAGAGUCUGGGAAUAUGGCUCAUGAUUGCACCAAUCCAUUCAAUUAUGUACAUAGAACUCACCUCUCUUUUUUGUAAAGCGGAUCCUAUGGUUUUGUUCAUAUGGGGAAGGGUAGUUUCUCAUGGCAGAACAUCUGCCUUGCCUGCAGAAGGUCCCAAGCUUCUCCAGGUCAGGCUGGGAGAGACCCCUGCCUCAAACCUUGGAGAGCCCCUUCUGGUCAGUGUAGACAAUGUGGGAAUGUUCAGGGAGGGAGAGGAUAUAUUGUUUAUUAAUAUCCUUCCUAACUUGCGCUAGCGAGUUCUAUAACUUAUCAGAGUUACAUACCCCUUUGAAACACACAGCAGGCUUGUUUAAGCCUCUUAAUAUUAGAUUCCUGGUAAAUUCCCUUAUAUCCCUCUUAAAAGAAUAAACACGCCACCUUCUUGUGUAAAGCAUAGAAAAGAAGUUUACUCACAUCAUCAGUUCACAGUUGGAUCCCUGAAGGCAGAUUUAGUUACAAAGUAUAUACAUGUGGGUCUAUUCCAUAUGGAGAUAAUCUUAGUAUCCUCUGUUGGCUGAGAGCCAUGUAUGUAUGUAUGUAAGUAAGCAUCUCAACACAUAUUUAAAUGUGUAUUUUGUCUCAAUAUAGUAUUUAAAUGUCCAUUUUGAUAUGCUUAAACUGUUGAGAAGUGCUAAAUCUGGUGAACAGCUAAAUUGUAAUCUGAACAAAAGUCUGGGAACUGCAGACUUAAGUGCAUAUAGGAAUGUGCAAAGAAUUAAUUCCUCACAUGUCUGGAAGCUUAAAGAUGCUGCUGUAGCUUUAAGGGUUUGUUUGAUGCAGAGGAAGAGUAAGUGACCCAACUCUUGGUGGUUUUUGGCACACUUGCCAAAAUUGCCCCAGUUGCCUGUUUAUAUAAGCAGGAAAUGACCCAGUGGGGAAAGUCCCAUCCAUUUAAUGUGGCCACAAUUUCACGGUUUGCAGCUAUAUUGAGCAGUGAACCCAAUGCUGAUGUGAUAGAGCAGCAAUAAUUAAUUAAACAUGGGCCACAUCCUUAGAAGUAAUAAGCAGCUGCAAAACCAGCAUUGAUGUUGACUCUUUUCAGGAAUCAUCUCAUUAAUAAUGGAGAGGGGCAUAAAAUAGUAAUACAGAAUUCUGUAUUUUCUCAUUACCCUAAACAUCAAGCUCUUGUUUAACACUGUUCCAUUCCUUUUUUACACUUAGUACAUGCAAAUGCAUCAAGAUGUGUUUAGGAAUGUGGUGCACAUGAUUUCUGCAUGCAGGCAUAACCAUCAGCAUAAAUUAAGAUCCUGCACAGUUUAAAAUUUCCCUUCCACAAUUUUAGGUAUAUUAAUUCAGUUUUCCCUCUACUACACAACUUUCAACUGGGAGCAUAUCUCCCAGUUAUUCAUGUCCCCAUCAAACAGUAUUUAUAAAUCAGGAUUGUUUUUAAGCAAGAAUGGCAAACAUGUUUGAAGCAUAUGCAAUAGAAACUAGUGAUUAAAAUGCAAGCUCCACAGAAGCCUUCCUUAGGUUGAUCUCAAGAAAAGAAAAGAAAAGAAAAGAAAAGAAAAGAAAAGAAAAGAAAAACAGAAUAAAUGCUUGUGACACUUGGACUACUCUGUUGACUUUCAGUCCUAAAACAGGGAAUUUUAAAUAGGCACUUAAAGGCAAGGAGGCUUUGGAUCAUGAGACAAAGUUGGAGAGCAGUUUGGCAAAAUGAGCACAAGAGAAACCAAUGUCCUGGAGUCUGCAUUUCUACACAAAACAUUUACAGUUUUGAGCUGUUGAGGGGUUUAAAAAGAUUUUUCCUUGCCUGCACAGUGUUGUUUUUUAGGAAGAAAAACACAACUGCUGCUAAAUCAUUGACUUGGAAUUGACUCUCUUAAAGUUGUCGUUGUUAUUUACUGUCCACCUUGUUCCAGCAGAAGAGCACGUUUUCCCAUCAUUUUUCUCCACAAUGACUGUGUGGCCUGUCAAUGUAAUUCCCAUUUUACAGGUAGAGAAACAAGGCUUGCCAAUGGCCAAUAGACAACCUAUUGCCAAUUCAGGAUGUGAAUUUAAUCUUUUCAUCACCACAUCCAGUUCUUUGCCUCUUACACCAUUGAAGAUCCUUGACUUCCAUGCUUGGCAGCAAAGAGCCUCUUACAGUUCAUCAUUUAGGAAACUAUUGCCUUGGAAUGCAACUAUUGCCCUGCUCAUUCUUCAUGCACAACUCUUAUUUUCGUGCUUUCAGUUUUCUUAAGGAAUACAGCAGAGUGCCCUGAAAUUACAACUUUCCCUGUUGGCUUUGGUAUUAAACAGCAGGCUAUUUUGGGGGGUAAAAUUAUAGUUUUAUAGUUUAUUUUAUUAAGCUUAUUAUACUAGGUUUUUUUAAGGACUAGAAUAUUGAUUUUACAAGAAUUACUUCCUGCUCUGCAAGCCAUACUCAGGGAAUAUAUAAAAGCUGGCAAAUGGGUGCCAAUGUCAACAUUUCCAUGCCUAGUUAUGAAGUGUUGAUAGAGAAUCGUUGUUAUGGAGAACAUAAAGGCUCCAGUGAGCAGUAGAUAAUUCACUUUCCAAAAAGUCAUCCCUAUUUAGUAGUAAGCACUGAACUGUAGUGAACAUUACCAACUCCAGUGAUUUGGAGUAGGAAGAGAAUUGAAAAUACAGGCAGGAAAUUUCAGUGCAAAAUAUGUGAGAAUGAGAACAGAUUGUAUGUCUAAAACUCCAAAAUGGAAAAGACAGCAAGGGGAAAAGAAUGUGAAUAUUAUAACUGUAGUGGUUGAUAAACAAAACCUAUAGUAAGAUAGAAAAUAAUAUUUAUUUUGUAUACUUUGGCUUUAUUUAUAUUUGGAAAAAAAUCAACUUUUUCUAAGACUCUUACUUUUUGCAAAGUCUCAGAACUAAUCUGCUUCUAUACUUACUAAAGUAUCCAGCCGGCCUUGUUGCAUAACUGUUCUGUUGGGCAUUUUAAUAUAUGUCAACUGAGAAAAUGAAUGCUCAGAGGUGCCCCACUUCUGUGGCACCCCACAUCCCUUUAUGCCCUAAGCUUGUGCUUAUUUUGCUUGAUCCAGCCCUGCCUCCUCCUAUAAUUCUACCUUGUGGUCCCAUCAAUAGCUGUUGAACUGCAUUUGGUGAGUCUCGUUACUCCAAGACGCACUUCCAGUGUGGUGAUUCAUUUAUAGUGCUUUAUCUCUUGCACUUUUUAUUGGUGCUUAAUUUGAUAUGUGAUUUGUUUGUUUGUUAAGUAUAGAUUCAUUUUAAAAUGCGUCUUGAGGACACAUCAAUAUGUAGGACAGAAAUUUGAUAAGUAAAUAUAUCACUGUUUUCUUGAAGGUAAGUAAAUUUUGUAAGUAAAUAUGACACAUUUCUUGAAAAUAUCAAUGAAUUCAGUCUCUUGUAGAAAGUGUGUGUCUCUCCAAGAAAUAUUUAUUCUGUCAUCGUGCAUUCUUCAAUAUUAUAUAUAUAUAUUUAUAAGAUAUUUAUUGAAAUUUUCAAAAUAUUACAAAAAAAGGGGAAAAAAAGAAAAAUACAAAAUAAAAAUAGUUAAAAACAACUCAAUCUUUCCAUUACUUAUUUUUCAUUAGCUUAUUUCCCAGACCUCCUCACGCCUCCCUUUUUUGUAUUCCAGUUCGGUUUGUUGGUUCAGCAAAUCCUUCCCCUCUUUGUUUAUCCAAGUCUUAAAUCUUAAAAUAUUGUAACGUUAAAUUUUUACCUGUUAGUAAUCCAUUUUUCAUAUUCCCUUAUAGUAUUACAGCUAGAAACCACUUACUUUCUAUCCAACAUCAUUCUAACAUUCAUUAAUUUUACAAUAUUUCUGUAAAUAGACUUUAAAUUUCUUCCAAUCUUCUUCCACCGACUCUUCUCCCUGGUCUCGGAUUCUGCCAGUCAUUUCCGCCAGCAUUCUUCAAUAUUAUACUCCCAUUACAUUACUCCACAAAAGAUAACAGAGUAUAGUGAAAUGCACAUAUCAUCUGAAACCCAGGAAACUUCAGUUACACUGACUAGAGACUCACAAGUUGUACUUAGAUAAUGGGGGGGGGGGGGAGAGAGAGGCCAAAUACAAAAGAUCUGUUCUGCUGACCUGACUUGAUCCUUGAUUCAAAGACAAAUUGAAAGGCGGCUUCAAUGGAAUUCAUGGGACCAAGAAGCUCUCUGGGAUGACAGCCCAACCCAUGUCAUUGCCCACAAUUACCUUUUGCCUCUUUUUCUCCUUCCAAGUAAAAAACCACUAAUUAGUUCAUCUUCAAAAGGUUACACUUCAGACUUGGAGCAGCUCCCUGAGCAAGGAUAGCUGGUUGUUUUUUACAGAGAGAGAAAGAGAGGCAGCUGCUUAGACAGUGACAGAGAGAGAGAAGAUGGGAAGAAAUCUGUAUGCAUUCUUUAUGGCAAACCUUUCCCAAUAUUGCUACCAGAGGGAAAAGGGCUGUGAAUAAUGGAUAUGAUUUUGUGCAUCAGAAAGAUUAGGAUGAGGUCAUUUCUCUAACAAAAUUCUAAUGAUGAGCAAGUACAAGGAAUUUUGAAAGACUGUUAGUAUACAUAGGAAAUACAAUUAACCUCCACUCAUUAGAAGCUCUUAAAUCUGGACUUAUUGUAGACAAGCUUUAGGUCUCCCCUCAUUAGGGACCUACAAGCAAAAUGUACCCAAUAUGGUUGCUAAGCAGCAUAAGAGGAUGCACUUGGCAAAGCUUGUCUGGAUCCUUGGCAAUCACUCAAUGAAGAGAGAUAGCAUCACCGCCGAGAAUGCAGCGCAUGCUCACCCUCUGUCCACAAGCACACUGCACUCUCUGGAGCUCAGAAAAGUAUGCCACACCAGAAAUCAAACAGUGAUUCUUAUAGCGCUGCAUGGAACUCCAGCAAUGCAAAAGUGACUUUGACAGCAAUGAUUGCUGCCGGUAUGUAUGAAUUAGUCCAAAGUGUGACCAACAUAUAACAGGCUUCAUUCCCACCAGCUGUUGUUCUUUUAUAGAUACAUUUGUGGUCUCCUUAAAGAAUCUUAUAAGUUCACACAGUUCCUGCUUUUCUAUGCAGCCGGAUAAUGCAUAGCUCACAUUCCUAAGAUUCCACCUGAGCCACAGAUGGCCAUGCAAUGGAAUUUCACAAAUCACAAGGACGGAAGUUCAAGGAAAAGAUCCUAAAACAUGAAGAGAAGUCUACCAGCCAUGGAUAAUUUUCUUUAAUACAAAUAUAACUUAGUCAUACUUCAUGCUUUGUUUAUUUCCAGCCCCCUAACUAGACUCUCUUUUUAAGCCUGCUUUCGGGUCAUAAUUUAAAUGAACAUUUUUACUGUCGGGUUAGUAGUUUCUUUAGUUUGCUUUAGUAAUUUAUAAUAGUUUCAAAGAUAAUUAAAGAAAGGAGGCUUGGUGGGUCUUUGCCCUAGAGAUAAACUCUAAUGCUAUUAAAUGAUGUUUGGGAGGGCUGUAUUUACUUCCACUCCAGACUCACCUGUCUGAAGAUUUCUUGAUCCCGCAACAGAUAAUGAUCCUUUUUAGAGCGUUUUUUUAGAGAUAACAUCGCAACGUUAUCUCUGUCCUAAGAGAUAAUAAUGACAGAUAAACUAUCAUAAAUCCACCACUUAAUUACAUCAGAGCUUUUGACAGGUGCAGCUGACCAGUUCUGUUGCCUCCUCAGAAGUCUGUCUCCUUAAGGGCUCUUGAUCAUGCACUUCAAAUGCCUUUGUGAGAGACACUGAAGAUAGGCAAAGCUUCAAAAAUUUUCCAAAUGCUGCAACUGAAUAAACUGAGAAACUAGGGACUGAACUGCAAUGGCUUAGAUUCCUUCAGAACCCCAAGUCUAACUCUGGCUUUUAGAGGAGACCUGGAGUAUCCUUUAUCUCUUUUUUCAGGAACCCUGGGACCCUCAUCAUCUCCAAGACUCCCAGCUUCAAACUGUUGGUUUGGUUUUUUGUUUUUUUUUGGCCAUCCAGUCUGAUAAGACCUUAAAUGGGGAAGAAUUUCAGUUAUGAAAAUGAAUGUAUUGCCAAGAAUGUUAUUUUUAUUUCAAACAAUACCCGUGGUCAGCGGAGAGGGACACUUCAAACAAUGGCAAAAAUAUAUUUCCAAAUUUAUCUGGCAGGGAAAGAAACCAAGGAUUAAAUAUAAACUAUUAACAGAUACCCCUGCCCCCCAAAAGAGGUGGCUUCUCUCUGCUGGAUUUGAAAUUAUACUAUGAAGCGUCAUUUCUCUGCUGACUACGGGAGUGGAUAACUUUUAAAAAUACAGAUAUCUUAGACCUUGAGGGUCAUGAUAACAGAUUUGGUUGACACGCAUAUUUAUGGUAUGAGAAGACCAAAGUGCAUAAAGUGUUUUUGAAUUAUUUGGUAAGAAAAGCAAUUUAUGGACUAUGGGGAAAAUAUAAAAACCUGUUAGAGAAGAAGACAUCAUGGUGGCUUUCACCAGUGGAAGCGAUAUCCCUGAAAAAGACUAAUGCAAAAGGUGAAUGGGCAACCUAUAGAGAGUUGCUCAUGGAAGUAGCGCAACAACUGAAAUUGAAAAGUUUUGAGGAUAUAAGACAGUAACAGACUGGUUGCAAUAUCAUCAAUUAAAUGGUGUGUUUAAAAUAGAUAAGAAAAUUGGAUUCAGUAAAGAAAUGUCAUGGUUUGAAAAAUAUUUAAUGGAAAAUAACAUGAAGUUACUUUCUAAAAUGUAUACCGUAUUUUUCGCUCUAUAAGACACACUUUCCCCCUCCUAAAAAGUAAGGGGAAAUGUGUGUGCGUCUUGUGGAGUGAAUGCAGGCUCCAUGGCUUCAGCGAAAGCAACGCGAAGCCUCUGGAGCACAGUGGGAGCUCCUGCUGCGCUUCGAAGGCUUCACGUUGCUUUCGCUGAAGCCAGGAGAGCAAGAGGGAUCAGUGCGCACCAAUCCCUCUUGCUCUCCUGGCUUUGCUUCGCUGGAGAGGCGCUGUGCAUCUUUCCCUCUCUGCGCAGCACCCCUUCAGCGAAGCUGGAGGAGAAAUGGAAGGGGCUCCACUUCACCUGCCGCUUCGCUGAAGGGGCGCUGCACAGAGAGGGAGAGAUUUUUUUUCCCUUGUCCUCCUCUAAAUCUAGGUGUGUCUUAUGGUAGGGUGCAUUUUAUAGAGCGAAAAAUACGGUAAAUUGUUGCUAGAGUGGCGUACCAAAGACGAAGUAGUUAAAUCGGUAAUGAUACAUUAGGCACAAGAUAUUGUCAGAAACCUGGCUCUUCAGGAUCCAGCAAACGAGGCAGGAGACGGGGCAGGAGAGGAGAGUCAGCUGGCAGAAGAGACAGAAGGCUUGGCUUUCCAAAAAAACCCCCCCGCAGAUUCCACAACCCUCCCUUUCUAGACCUGGCACUCCAUUACCGGUGGAGGGGAGAGGGCUGGAAGAAAGCCCAGAAAGCAGUCUGCCAAGGGUGACUCUCGUGACUCCGGAAGCACUCUCUAGCAACAGUGAUUGAGAGCCAAUUAACACUCUCAGUCCGAAGUCCUGACGCUGGGCAAACCUACAGGAAGAACGUAAGCACAGAGGCAUACUUAAGGGGUUUUGCCGCCGAUCUUGUUGGAAAUGUAACCGCAAAGACUCCGAUUAGGACAUCUUUGAUGUAUGAUGGAUAUGUGUGAGAGCAGCUCUGUGAAUAUGCUUGUAAAUAAAGCUUAAUUGAAUUGAUAACCAUUCACAUGCUUGCUGGCAGGGCUGUCUUAAGCAAAUGUGGCGCCAGGGUAUAAAGAUCCACCCAGUGUCCCCCCCCCCCAGGCUGCCCAGUCCCAGGCGUGCAGGAGGGUGGAGCUAGCCGGCUGUCUCAGCGUCUUGCUGGCUCGGUUGCCCCCGAACUUGUGGCGCAGAGCCACCUGCAGCAGAAGAGCCCGCCACAGCGCUCUGAUGGGCGGGCUCUUCCCCAGACUCAACUGUCGGGCCCCAGACUCUCGGUCUGGCGCCCCUGAGAGCCUGGCGCCCAGGUGCUCUGCACCCCUAGCACCUAUGGGUAAGACGGCCCUGCUUGCUGGACUGUUCGCUGCUAACAAUCAUUAUAGAUAUUGGGCACAACAUCCAAUUUUCAUCUUGGGAAAAGUUAUGGAGGGAGGAUUUAAAAUUUAUAGCAUGCUGUGCGUUGAAGGAGAAUUAUAUGAAAAUGAUGUAUCGGUGGUAUUUAACACCUGUAAAAUUAGCAAAAAUGUAUAGAACUGCUUAAAUUAUUUUUUUUGAAAUGUAAGGAGAAAGAAGGCACAUUCUACCAUAUGUGGUGGAUGUGCAAGAUAACAAAAGCAUUCAGGGAAAUGAUUUACAAUGAGUUGAAAAAAAUGUUUAAAAUAACAUUUGUGAAAAAAACAGAGGCUUUUUUUUGCUAUGUAUUCUAGGUACAGAGAUUCCAAAGGAGCAGAAACGACUAUUCGUGUAUGCGAUGACAGCAGCAUGGAUACUACUGGCCCAAAGAUGGGAAGAAGAUAAAGUUCCAACCAGAGACGAAUGGUUGAUGAAGAUGAUGGACUAUGCCGAAAUGGUGAAACUGACUGGGAAAAUCAGAAACCAGGAAGAGAAGAAUUUUAAGAGGAAAUGGGAAAAAAUAUAAUGUAUUUAAGAGAACACUGUAAACAACUAAAAACUUUGGCAGGAUUUGAGUAAUGCAUGUAAUGUAAUGUAUGAAAAGCUAUGGUAAAAAUGGAUUACGUUUCUUAAAAAUUAGAGCAAAUAAGGGAAGCAGUUGGGGGGG